rnacentral:lncRNA from 10 species
AGCACAUGCAUCCUGCUUGCUGCUGCUGUCUGCAGCUCCCAAGGUCCAUAGCGCAGCCACAGGGCAUCCUCAGCAAAAAGAGAGCCAGGGUUUCUUGAGCCCUGGCCUGAAGUAUCAUCCGAAUGCAGACAGCACUGAUGCUUUCCUGUUAAUCUCAGCAGACACAUAUCAGUGUGACUCAGGGACACACUUUCAUUUUCAAAGUCAAAGCUGCAAGCUAGGUGGUCACUUUGAAGAAGAGGCUGGGACAUGAAAAAGAGAAAAAGUUCCACCAAUGGAAAGCCCCCAUCAUCUGCAGGUGACAGGCCUAGAUUGGAAGAAUGACAUUUUCUUUAUUCUCCUGUGAAGCCAGAACUCUGAGAUCUCACCUCAGGUCCAGGGAAACAAGAGGAAGAAAGACUGAUCUGCCCCCUUCCAAACAGAGGAUUCUAGUGUCCAGUUGACUGACAUCAAGAUGGCCUUGCAGGGGCAGGUGCUGAAGCCAUCUCCAUAAACUAUAAAAUUAAUCAGGGCAGAAGGGAGGGGGGAAAUUAACACAAACGAAGCUUGUAGCACACUCAGCAUUCGUUAUUAGGACAGCUCACUCUCUGACCACUGCCCCAUCGUCGUUUGCUACCUGUUGCCCCAGAAUCACAGAGAUCCUGCUCUGUAGAUAACAACGUAAGCAUGGUGAAAUGUUCCAUUUUCCAUUUGAGGUCUUCUUUCAUUUCCUGCAUCAGUGAAAUGACUGAUGUCAGCUGGCCUGAAGGGCCCCACAGGAAUCUGACUCAUGGAAGAAUGAAUGCAGUUUCCACAUCCUGAUGAUUUCAUACCCUGGACUCCAACCAAUCAAUGGUCCCAAUUUUCCUGCCUCUCACCCUCCAUGAUUCCCUGAAAACUUUCAGCCUAAAGCCCCUCGGGGGGACAGACUUGAGGUUCCCUCCUGUCUCCUCCCUCGGCUGUCAUGUGAUCAUUAAUCUCUUUCUUUGCUGUAAACCUUGCUGCCUUGGUGGAUUGGUCUGUUAGUUCACAGGAGGCCCAGGAACCUGGAGGUCCUGUAACCGUGCCUUUGGUGAGUUUAUAUGACACAGAGUGAACAUACUUACUGGAGCAUUCUAUGCAAGUAUGUUCCAGGACCACUCCCUCCCAAAUCCGUCCUCUUUAGAGGUGUGGCAGUGGACACAAUCUAUCCUAGCAAGAAACUCAGAGUGAUUAUGAUGUAAAUGUCCGCAUGAAAAGAUGUAAACUAGUUCAACCCUUGUGGAAGUCA